CACGUAGGGCGCGAGCGUUGUCCGGAAUUAUUGGGCGUAAAGAGCUCGUAGGCGGCCUGUUGCGUCCGCUGUGAAAGCCCGGGGCUUAACCCCCGGGUCGGCAGUGGAUACGGGCAGGCUAGAGGUAGGUAGGGGAGAAUGGAAUUCCCGGUGUAGCGGUGAAAUGCGCAGAUAUCGGGAGGAACACCGGUGGCGAAGGCGGUUCUCUGGGCCUUACCUGACGCUGAGGAGCGAAAGCGUGGGAGCGAACAGG
rnacentral:rRNA from 1 species